CAGGCAAUAUAUUUUUUAUUUCCAACGUCUAUAUGUGAAGCAUUAAUAUAAUCAGAACAUCCUUUUGGAACGGCUAGACGGACUCUUGUUUUAUCGUAGGGCACGAUAUCUGUGUAACGAUUUUUUCUUGAAAUGGAAGUGGAGCGGCUGGAAGCUAAACAGCACCAAUCAGAUUUACUGUCAUUAAACGCUAGGGAUCUAGUCAUUUCCAUUUCCUCAAGUCUUUUAAACUUAUAAAAAAUAGAAGCAGUAUUUAAAUCCGCAAGCACCUCACAAGGAGGAGGAGAAACCUUUUUGGCACCCCAGGGAUUACAAGUAAAGGGUCCUUUGUUUUCCUUGGAGAAAAUGCUUCCCUUGGUCUCUUUAUUAAAGCACGGUUUGUUAGCUCUUCUUAGACCGCCUGGUUUUGGAGCAUCUCGUGUGUUUGAUAAACCAACAGAUGGUUUAAGUUUGCUUGUCAUCGUACUAGUACCAUCAUUCUGUGCAUUGCUAUCACGUUUCAUUGACUUCCGUGGAAUAAUUUCCAAGGAAGCUUGAGACAAACUUGGAUUGACGACGUUGCUGGAUUUAACAUAGUUGCUAAAGCUACGAACGCGAGAAGCAGAAGGCCGUCUCUGAUUAUUCGAGGAGGGAUAAGAAGGCACCGAUCGUAGAGAUGGCCUGGCAGGAGUUUGCUGAGGGGCAUUGCCUACGAUAAAAAAGUUUUUCUGUUCAUCAGGCGUACUAGGACAAGAAGAUGCGCAAGAAAUGGCGGGAGAGAUUGGAAAAUAUGGCAUUUCAGCUUGAAAAGCUGAAUUUGGGGGAGAGAGGGGUGAACCAUAUAUAGAUUGGCACGAACGAACAGAAGAAGCAGUAGGAGAGUGAAUCGAAAACGGUGUUAAACCUGAAAAUCCAGGGUAUUCCGCAUGACUCGCGAACUCACUAAAGGUAUCGGAGACUACCGAAGGUGUGCAUAAAGGUGGUGGGAUGUUAAUAGGAACUCUCAAUGGAAAGCUAUAAUCUGGUGAAAUAGGGGUAGAAACCGCAGAUGGAUCGGAUAAAUGAAGGAUAUCCAGCUUGCAAUUCUCAUUGAUGUCAAUUUUGUAUGGGACCGACUCCUUGACCAUUUCGGUAGAGACAAUGGCGUCCGGAUGAGAGGAAGCAAAGGCUUCAAAUCCAUUGCUUAAUAAAUAAAUUUUUUUGGAAUAUCCACCACGUCGAAACUUCUGUACCAAAUCAUAAAUACGGUUCAUGCCAGCCAUGCUAGAGUCGUAUAGGAAUAUGGCAUUAAUUUCAUCCAACGAGACUUUUACGUUGCAUUUUAUACAGGCGAAAACCUUUCCAAUGUCAAAAGACGGACGACGUAACAACGCAGUUGGAAGAGAAACGUUGAUGGCAUUUUUUAUAUGGCUAACAGCAUAUUUGGAGUGCAGGCGCAAAUCAAUAAUCCAAGAAACGCUCUCGGUUUGUUCUUCAAAAGACUUAAGAGUAGAGUUAAAUUCGUCUUUAGACAGAAGAUGGAGCAUAGUAGCACAAAAUUUUUGAAAACACCUUGGAAGAUGUUAUAUCCUAAGUAAAAGGGACAGAGACAAGAUUGGCCAAGCUAAAAUAUAUAUACAGGAAACUUUUAAAAUGGCACACAAAUUAAAACGAAAAAAAAGAUAGCAGGCGAGUGUGAAGAGGUGUGCGGGUUAAGAGAAAUUUUUUGAGUUAUUUACAGUGUGCUUUCGGAAAAAAAGAAUAUAAACAAAAUGGAAACGUAAGAGAGAAGAAACUGUAUAAAAAUAACAAUUAUUGACUUUUUGCGAGUUCAAUCAAGGAGUCAAAAAUAUAAGACAAAGAAACUCCUGGGCGACGUGAACAAGGAUGAAUGAGGAAACUUGUUGAUUGAAAGAGACGAAAUCAAACAAGCAAAUAAAUAAAUUUUUAAUAAACAGAAAAUAAACAAAAUUAAAAGUUUUGUAUUCUUGGAUGAUGGUGGUUAAUUUUUUUGUGAUGAAAAGGAAAAACUGCAACUCGAUUUUCCCUUUGUAUUGCCUAUUGAUGUUGAACAGAGAAAAGCUCCUUUUUGUCAAAUAAAUAGAAGUCCGCGAAGUGGCGCUGGGAUAUAAAAUGCAAAAAAGAUAGA
rnacentral:lncRNA from 1 species